GGGAGGAGGCGGCGGCGCUGAGGGGAGCGAGGGGCGGAAUGCCGGGCACUAAAAGGAGGUUGUGGGACAGCUGAGGGUCGGUCUCUUCUGCCAGGCAGCCAGUGAUAGGAGAACGGGGUAUGGUCUCAAGCUGCGCCAUGGGAGGCUCAGGCAACCUUUGGGCCUUGGCAGGGGCUCUCAGGUGUCCCUGCAGCCUUCUCUUGUGCAGGGGAGCAGCCCCAGCUGUGCCAGGCUGGCUCCAGAGCACAGGGCUCCAGCCCCUAGAGCAUCAUCACCCUCCAGAUUCAGUGUGAUCAGUCCAGGAGCAUCACGCCUGCAGCCUGGACACACCAGCUCUGCAAGUGAGGAGCACCCUCAGCUGCCUUGGAGAGUUGGAUGCUAAACACAGAGCCAAGCUCCAGGACACUGCCCCACUCAUCCUUUCCCAGCCUAAAUUCCUUGUUUAGGACCCAACUGUUCUUUUCCAAACAAUGCUUAAAUAUUUUCUUACCUUUUCUUGCAAGUAAUCCACAACUGCAGACUCUGAGUUUUUGCCAUCGUACUUCUCAAAGACAGAGCGCAUUGUACCUUGCACAUCAGUUUUUACCUGUUUAGACAGAGAAAAACAAUGCAGAUGUGAGAGCUGAGAGAGAGGUUUUAAUGUGAGAGCGGAAAAUUUUAUCUGGUGGAAACUGCAAAAUAUCUGUAUCCCAAAUAAGUCGGGGGGAAAAUUAGAAGUAAGAAAAAUCACCAAUGUUUUAGACAGAAUUCAGGUGGCACUUAGCCGGAAUCAUGUGCUUGGGUAGAAGCUUGUCACCCUUGAUGGCAAAGCCCUCCUUUGGGAGCCUCAACAACUGUUCAAUCCAGCUCAGAGAUUGUUGUGAUAUCUUCCAGGUACUUUAUAUAUUCACCGUGUUCCCAGCAAAGACAUCCCCAUUCCCAUUUGCACUGCAGGUUGCAGGACAGGGGAUGAAGUAAAAAAAAAAAAAAAAAAACCAACGCAGAUAAAUUGGAAUGAUCAAACAAUGUGAGACCUAUUCUUUACUUUUAUGUUGGGACAGAGAUGCUAAAAAUACUUAACUUACCUUUUCCCUGUAAACAAAUCCCAAGACAAAAGCGGACACUUCGGCAAUGAAGAUAACCAGGAUAAUGGCCAAGAACUGAAAAUAAAAAAAGAGAGACAGUAAGAGAAAAUCCCACAACACUUGAAUUCAACUGCCCAACACACUUCACAUUAAUCUACAGCAGUAGGUGAUCGUUACCUCUUAUUGCCUCGCCAAUCAAAAUAGUUCCCAAAAGAUAAUUUAGAAUAGAAGAAGCUGUGGCUGCCUCACCCCUGGGAUUGUUCAAGGCCAGGUUGGGCAGGGUUUGGAGCAACCUGAUUGUAUUGGUUGACCUAGUGUAAGCUGUCUCUGCCCAUGGAAAAGGGGCUGGAACUGGAUGAGCUUUAAGGUCCCAUCCAACCCAAACGUUUCAGGGAUUGUUGUGCGUGGCUGGGACAAUGACUGUGGCUCCAUGGGCUCUGUGCCUGAUCCUGAGCACUGCCAUGGCUGAAGAGCCUGUGGAACACUGCACAGGGUGGGUGUCAAAGGGGAGAGUGCACAGAUAAACCAGCAGCUGGGUCAGGUACGUUGUGCACUGCUUGUUGGGCUCACAUUGCCUCCAGGGCACGACCUCUAAGCGAACCUUUCUGGAUUACUUUUUAAAAGUAAUUCUGUGAGCAGCCGAGGCAUGAGGACUAAAGUCAGCAGAAAAACUGAUACACAUCUGGUUUGCUUGCUUAGAAACUCGUAUUUCCUCCUGCUCCUUCACCACCUAUCUCCUCAAAACUUGCUGCUCCCACACUCAUCUUCCCUGAGCCCGCUGAGGCGGAUGGGAGCAUCCCAGCUGCAGGUGACUGGCACAAACAAGCGGUGCUUCAGCAGUGCUGCGACCACGACCUUUCCCUUUGUCCACCUCCCGAGGUCCAGGAGCAAUUCAUGGAGCAAAUUGCCAACCUUAUAUAAAGAAUUACAGGCCACAAAAGUUUAAGUAGCACAGUAGUAGGAAUCACAGGGUGAAGGAAAAAAUUUUAGAGCACUGUACAGGGGGGUUUUGUAUGUUGUAUAGGGGGGUUUGGAAUCCUGUACAUGGGGGUCAGGAGUUCUAAGAUGGAGGGAUUUGGGCGUGCCCUGUCCUUCUUCUUUCUUCUCCUUGGCAUCCAUGUUCAGGAUGAUGUUGGCAUGUGUGGAUUGGUUCAUGGUGAAGGUGCACUUGCCAACAAGGGCAAAAAGCAUUGGAAAUUGAAGGUAAAUAUCUUAUACGUAGUUUUCACUAUAAAAGAGACAACCGCCCUGUGGGCAGGGGAGAGUGCCCUUGGCUGUCUUGCUGAUCAGACCUCGGCUGGACAGACAGAAAAACUUUGUAGAUAAGGAACAAUAAACUCAACUGAAGACCAAAAGCAAGAGUCCAGACUCCUUCUUCGAGAGCGCGGCCUGCCCAGAACCACCUUUUCCCGUGCUGGGGCAGAGACAAGUGACAGCCGACCCCGGCACCUGCUCUGCCAGCGGGAGGCAGGCGACACCCAGGAAUGUGGCAGC